rnacentral:rRNA from 1 species
AGAGUUUGAUCCUGGCUCAGAAUCAACGCUGGCGGCGUGCCUAACACAUGCAAGUCGAGCGAGAAAAGGGGGGCAACUCCCUGAGUACAGCGGCGCACGGGUGAGUAACACGUGGGUAAUCUGCCCUGGAGUGGGGAAUAACACCGGGAAACCGGUGCUAAUACCGCAUACGAUCACGAGGUCUGCGGAUUUUGUGAUGA